AUUGAACGCUGGCGGCAGGCCUAACACCUGCAAGUCGUACGAAUGGCGGACGGGUGAGUAAUGUCUGGGAAACUGCCUGAUGGAGGGGGAUAACUAGUGGAAACGGUAGCUAAUACCGCAUCACAUAGGAUGUGCCCAGAUGGGAUUAGCUAGACGGUGGGGUAAAGGCUCACCUAGGCGACGAUCCCUAGCUGGGCUGAGAGGAUGACCAGCCUCACUGUGACUGAGACACGGUCCAGACUCCUACGUGUGGCAGCAGUGUGUAAUAUUGCACAAUGGGCGCAAGCCUGAUGCAUCCAUGCCGCGUGUAUGAAGAAGGCCUUCGGGUUGUAAAGUACUUUCAGCUGGGAGGCGUUACCCGCAGAAGAAGCACCGGCUAACUCCGUGCCAGCCGCCGCGGUAAUUC
rnacentral:rRNA from 1 species